AGACAGCAGCCGCCGCGGUAAUACAGAGGGUGCGAGCGUUAAUCGGAUUUACUGGGCGUAAAGCGUGCGUAGGCGGCUUUUUAAGUCGGAUGUGAAAUCCCUGAGCUUAACUUAGGAAUUGCAUUCGAUACUGGGAAGCUAGAGUAUGGGAGAGGAUGGUAGAAUUCCAGGUGUAGCGGUGAAAUGCGUAGAGAUCUGGAGGAAUACCGAUGGCGAAGGCAGCCAUCUGGCCUAAUACUGACGCUGAGGUACGAAAGCAUGGGGAGCAAACAGGAUUAGAUACCCCAGUAGUCCCUGUCUCUUAUAA
rnacentral:rRNA from 1 species